AAAAAAUCACCUUAUUUAAAGGGUUGAAAGAGCUUGUUAGAGUUGUGUGGUUGAAUUAGCAUUAAUAUAGUUGUAAUGUUUCAAGGUUUGACAUAAAAAAAGAAGAAAAAAAGAAGAAAAGAAAUAAGGAAGAAAACUCUUGUCCUUAUUGUAUUCCUUCUGAAAGAAAAAAAAGUAAAUAAAAAUAAAAAGAGAAAAGAGAAUAGAAAACGCAAAAGUGUUGUUUGAAAGUGAAUGAAAUAUUUUUAGUUCAACUCACACAACUCUUUUCAAUUUUCUUUUGACCCUUUGAAUUUUAGCCUAG
rnacentral:lncRNA from 1 species